UGGGGAAUAUUGGACAAUGGGCGAAAGCCUGAUCCAGCCAUGCCGCGUGUGUGAAGAAGGUCUUCGGAUUGUAAAGCACUUUAAGUUGGGAGGAAGGGCAGUAAGCGAAUACCUUGCUGUUUUGACGUUACCGACAGAAUAAGCACCGGCUAACUCUGUGCCAGCAGCCGCGGUAAUACAGAGGGUGCAAGCGUUAAUCGGAAUUACUGGGCGUAAAGCGCGCGUAGGUGGUUCGUUAAGUUGAAUGUGAAAGCCCCGGGCUCAACCUGGGAACUGCAUCCAAAACUGGAGGGCUAGAGUAGGGCAGAGGGUGGUGGAAUUUCCUGUGUAGCGGUGAAAUGCGUAGAUAUAGGAAGGAACACCAGUGGCGAAGGCAACAACCUGGGCUCAUACUGAAACUGAGGUGCGAAAGCGUGGGGAGCAAACAGG
rnacentral:rRNA from 1 species